GGUAAAAUUCGACCAUGAAAACUCUAGAUCUAGAGUUUUCAUGGUCGAAUUUGACCUUUAUAACCCAAAUUCUAGAUAAUUUCGGGGGAUUUUUGGUGAAAUUCGAGGUGUUAAUUGAUGCAUCAAGAUUCAAGACAUGCAACAAGAUUCAAGACUUUGAUUUUGAAAAAUUGUUUUAGACGUAUUUUUUUUAUUUAUUAUUUUUUAUUGUACAAUAAUUUAAAGCUAAAUUUCAUUGUUUGAUUAUAAUUCAAUGUAAUUUUUUAAUUUUUUUUAGUAUUGUACAAUAACAAUUUACAAUAACAAUUCUUUUGCGCU